CAGUAGCCGCGGUAAUACGUAGGGUGCAAGCGUUAAUCGGAAUUACUGGGCGUAAAGCUUGCGCAGGCGGUUAUAUAAGACAGAUGUGAAAUCCCCGGGCUCAACCUGGGAACUGCAUUUGUGACUGUAUAGCUAGAGUACGGCAGAGGGGGAUGGAAUUCCGCGUGUAGCAGUGAAAUGCGUAGAUAUGCGGAGGAACACCGAUGGCGAAGGCAAUCCCCUGGGCCUGUACUGACGCUCAUGCACGAAAGCGUGGGGAGCAAACAGGAUUAGAUACCCGCGUAGUCCCUGUCUCUUAUAC
rnacentral:rRNA from 1 species